rnacentral:rRNA from 1 species
AUGGCCCACCUCCCCCCCAUCGCGGCACUCGUUGGCCGCCGUUGGGCCUGCUUGCGGUGCAUAGAUCGUGUCACGCGCGACGGCUACAUCAUCGCCGGAUUUGUCCUUUCGUCCGACUGCGAUCCCAACUCGAGCGCCCUUCUCCACCGCCCGCUUCCCCCACUCCCGCUUGACUCCAUGGGGGGCGUCGGUGGCGACGCUCUGCCCGGAGUUCCGCGGAUCUGCGUCUGCCAGUCACGUUUGGCCUCCGUUUGCUGUGCUCUGCCGGCCCUGGCCCGCGCCGGGGUGGCCCUUGGCUCGUCACCAGGCUCAGCUAGCAUGUUUUCUAAAGGCCGAGGGGUCAUCGAGGAGCCGGUGCCGAGGUCCUAG